CGGAUUUCUACGUCACGGUUCAGCCAGCAAGCCGCCCAUUUUGCCCCAAAAGGUUCCUAUAUCCAUGAAGUAGGGGGGAAACAGAUAAAACGUUUAGAGAAAGCGAUCAGAUAUAAUUAGCUCAAAAGCAUUCAUUGUAAUGGAAGGAAACUAGAAAACCCAGAGAAAAUCCACAAGGAAAGGAAACAACACAAAGAGGAAACCAAAAGCUCAGAUUAGUACCCUGAAGCCUUGAGGUUUCUAAUGAAAACACACGUUCUUGCUUGUGAUGUUCCAUCCAGAAAGUGACCUAUAGUUCACAUCGAAUGGUAAUUAAUGGAAGAAGGCCGGACUUUCCAGUAAUGAAGAAAGGAGUAAAAAGAG